rnacentral:rRNA from 1 species
AGUGAACGCUGGCGGUAGGCCUAACACAUGCAAGUCGAACGGCAGCACAGUAAGAGCUUGCUCUUACGGGUGGCGAGUGGCGGACGGGUGAGGAAUACAUCGGAAUCUACUUUUUCGUGGGGGAUAACGUAGGAAAACUUACGCUAAUACCGCAUACGACCUACGGCAGAAAGCAGGGGAUCUUCGGACCUUGCGCGAGUGAAUGAGCCGAUGUCGGAUUAGCUAGUUGGCGGGGUAAAGGCUCACCAAGGCGACGAUCCGUAGCUGGUCUGAGAGGAUGAUCAGCCACACUGGAACUGAGACACGGUCCAGACUCCUACGGGAGGCAGCAGUGGGGAAUAUUGGACAAUGGGCGCAAGCCUGAUCCAGCCAUACCGCGUGGGUGAAGAAGGCCUUCGGGUUGUAAAGCCCUUUUGUUGGGAAAGAAAAGCAGCAGGUUAAUACCCCGCUGUUCUGACGGUACCCAAAGAAUAAGCACCGGCUAACUUCGUG